UACGUAGGGCGCAAGCGUUAUCCGGAAUUAUUGGGCGUAAAGAGCGUGUAGGCGGCUUGGUAGGUCUUGCGUCAAAACCUGAGGCUCAACCUCAGUUCGCGUGGGAAACCAUCUAGCUAGAGUCCGGAAGAGGAGAACGGAAUUCCCAGUGUAGCGGUGAAAUGCGCAGAUAUUGGGAAGAACACCAGUGGCGAAGGCGGUUCUCUGGGACGGUACUGACGCUGAGACGGCGAAAGCGUGGGGAGCGAACAGG
rnacentral:rRNA from 1 species